rnacentral:rRNA from 1 species
UGGGGAAUUUUGGACAAUGGGCGAAAGCCUGAUCCAGCAAUGCCGCGUGAGGGAUGACGGCCUUCGGGUUGUAAACCUCUUUUAGCAGGGAAAAACACAAUGAUGGUACCUGCAGAAAAAGCACCGGCUAACUCUGUGCCAGCAGCCGCGGUAAUACAGAGGGUGCAAGCGUUAUUCGGAAUUAUUGGGCGUAAAGAGCGCGUAGGCGGUUUGAUAAGUCUGAUGUGAAAACCCUGGGCUCAAUCCAGGAAGUGCAUUGGAUACUGUCAGGCUAGAGUACAGGAGAGGUGGGCGGAAUUCCUGGUGUAGAGGUGAAAUUCGUAGAUAUCAGGAGGAACAACAGUGGCGAAGGCGGCUCACUAGACUGUAACUGACGCUGAGGCGCGAAAGCGUGGGGAGCAAACAGGAUUAGAUACCCACGUAGUCCCUGAGCGGGCUGGCAAGGCGCAU